rnacentral:rRNA from 1 species
CCUACGGGUGGCAGCAGUGGGGAAUAUUGGACAAUGGGCGAAAGCCUGAUCCAGCCAUGCCGCGUGUGUGAAGAAGGCCUUCGGGUUGUAAAGCACUUUCAGUGGGGAAGAAAGCCUUGGGGCUAAUACCCUCGAGGAAGGACAUCACCCACAGAAGAAGCACCGGCUAACUCCGUGCCAGCAGCCGCGGUAAUACGGAGGGUGCGAGCGUUAAUCGGAAUUACUGGGCGUAAAGCGCGCGUAGGCGGUCUGAUAAGCCGGUUGUGAAAGCCCCGGGCUCAACCUGGGAAGGGCAUCCGGAACUGUCAGGCUAGAGUGCAGGAGAGGAAGGUAGAAUUCCCGGUGUAGCAGUGAAAUGCGUAGAGAUCGGGAGGAAUACCAGUGGCGAAGGCGGCCUUCUGGACUGACACUGACGCUGAGGUGCGAAAGCGUGGGUAGCAAACAGGAUUAGAUACCCCUGUAGUC